rnacentral:rRNA from 1 species
UUGGGCGUAAGGGCUCGCAGGCGGUUUCUUAAGUCUGAUGUGAAAGCCCCCCGCUUAACCGGGGAGGGUCAUUGGAAACUGGGGAACUUGAGUCCUUUAGAGGAGAGUGGAAUUCCACGUGUAGCGGUGAAAUGCGUAGAGAUGUGGAGGAACACCAGUGGCGAAGGCGCCCCUCUGGUCUGUAACUGACGCUGAGGAGCGAAAGCGUGGGGAGCGAACAGGAUUAGAUACCGUGGUAGUCCGCGCC